rnacentral:misc_RNA from 1 species
AACGCACAUUGCGCCCAUUAGUAUUCUAGUGGGCAUGCCUGUUCGAGCGUCAUUACAACCCUCAAGCGCUGUAGUGCUUGGUGUUGGGGCAUCUGCUGCUUAUGGCAGGCCCUGAAAGAUAGUGGCGAGCUCGCCGUGACCCUGAGCGUAGUAGUUUACACCUCGCUUCUGUGGUUCAUAGCGGGUCUUCAGCCGUGAAAACCCCCUAAUUUUCACAAGGUUGACCUCGGAUCAGGUAGGAAUACCCGCUGAACUUAA